GCCCGGCUGGCUCAGUCGGUAAAGCAUGAGAUUCUUAAUCUCAGGGUCUUGGGUUCCAGCCCCACGUUGGGCG
rnacentral:tRNA from 1 species